UGUUAGGGAAGUUUUUGGCUAUUAUCUCUUGGAAUAUUUUUUCUGUCCCCUUCUCACUCUCUUCUUCUGGCACCCCUAUAAUACGGGUGUUGGUGCAUUUACCAUUGUCCCAGAGUUCUCUGAGACUCUCUUCAUUUGUUUUCAAGCUUUUUUCUCUUUUCUGUUCUGCAUCUGUAAUUUCCACUAAUCUGUCCUCCACCUCGCUUAUUCAUUCUUCUGCCUCCUGUAUUCUGCUGUUAGCUGCUUCUAGUGAAUUUUUUAUUUCAGGUAUUGGGUUUUGCAUCUCUUCUUGAUUAAGUUUUAUAUCUUGUAUCUCUUUGCUCAGUGGUUCCUGUAAGUUGUCCAUUUUUGCCUCCAGUGUAUUUCCAAUGUCUUGCAUCAUCUUAGCAUCAACAAUCUAAAGUCUUUUUCCUGGAUGCUAAGGAUCUCCUCAUCACUUAGCUGAUUUUCUGGGUUUUUUUAUUUCUCCCUCAUCUGAGUUAUAGUCCUCUGUCUUUUCAUGUUUAUAGGUUUUUGGUGUGGUGACCUUUUUACAGAUAAUAGAGUUGCAGCCUCUCUUACUUCUGGUGUCUGCACCCCUUGUGGCUGAAGUCAGUAUGGGGGCUUGCUGUAGGGUUCCUGAUGGGAGGGGCUGAUGCGUGCCCCCUGGUAGGUGGAGCUGAUUCUGAUCCCUCUGGUGGGUGGGGCUUAGCCUCUGGCUGGGAUUAGAAGCAGCUGUGUGCCUGAGGGGUCUUUAGGUAGUCCGUUUUCUGAGGGGUGGGGCUGUGAUUCCAUCUGGGUUGUUGUUUUCCCUGGGGCUUCUCAGCCCUGACUGAGGGUGGGGCCAGAUUUUCCCAAAAUGGCCCCCUCCAGAGAAAGGCAUGCUGCUGACUAUUCCUGAGGACUUUGUUUUCAAUGUCCAUCCCUCACAACAAGCCGCAUUCACCCCUGUUUUCCCAGGAUGUCCUCCAAGAACUGCAGUCAGGUUUGACCCAGAUUCCCAUGGAGACUUUGCUUUGCCCUGGGACCCAGUGUACGUGAAAGUCUGUGUGCACCUUUGAAGAAUGGGGUCUCCGUUUCCCCCAGUCCUGUGGAGCUCCUGCACACAAGCCCCACUGGCCUUCAAUGCCAGAUGCUCUGGGGGCUCUUUCUCCCAGCGCCAGAUCUCCACACGUGAGGGUUUGAUGUGGGGCUCAGAACUCUCACUCCUGUAGGUGAAUCUCUGUGAACCAGUUAGUUUCCAGUCUGUGGGGCUUCCCACCCCGGAGGUAUGGUGUUGUUUAUAUCGCAAAACCACCCUUCCUACCUCUUAAUGUGACCGCCUCUUUGUCUUCUGGAGUAGGGUAUCUUUUUUAAGGUUUCCGGUCCAUUUGGGUGGAGAUUGCUCAGCCUUUAGUUGUGAAUUUUGUUGUUUUUAGGAGAGAAGUUGAGCUCCAGUCCUUCUAUUCUGCCAUCUUAGAGGUCUCCUCAAUUUUGUCUCAUUAAAACGUUUUAAAAAUAAAUCUUUAAAUUUAUUUUUUUAAUUAAAAAAAGUACCCAUUGAAGUUUCUUUGCAAGUGCUUUGUUCUAGAGGUAGAGGGUGAAAUUCAGAUCUUUCAUAUACUUUUACCAUUUAAAGAUCUUCUGUUGCCAUGUGUUGCAUGGCAAUAGCUCAAGUAGAUUUUUAAAUUGAAAUUUGAAAUCCUGGAUAGGUAUUGCAUAAGGAGAAAAGGUCAUUGAAUUUUAGGUCAUCUCUUCCAUUAUGAAAACAUACCUGACUUCCCAGAUGCUGGGUGAUUAUAAUUCUGCAGAUAACACUUUUUUCGGGGGAACUGAUUUUUUUUUUUUUUUUUUUUUUGGCAAAGUGAAGUCUUGGGGUUAUUGCUCUUUCUCUUGCAUCCCAUUUAAUUCAUCAUGUUUUCUCAAGUGAUCUCUCAUUAAAACAAGCUAUAUUUUGAAGUUCAUAUUAAAAUAACCCAGAAUUAUGAUGAGUGGGCUAGAAUAUCAUAUAAGUCAGGGUAUAAUGAACUACGAGGUGCUCUAUUUUAGUUUGAUUAAUUAAUCUGUACUCCAUAAUGAAUAACUCAUACAUUAGCACAGUGAAGAGGCAUAUAUCACAAGAAAACCAUGUGACAAAAAUCUGACUUAAUAAAGUCAAUUAGAAUGGGGAACCCAUGUAUCUCUAGGAAUUCUUUUUUCCUGCCUAGAUUUUCCCCACUACACGUGAACUUAGCUAAACUAUAACCUGAAUCCUUCAUCCUAUAUGUGUAUAUCAAGGUGGUAGAUUUUGCUUCAGUAUUAAUGUCAGUACUUCUAGGAUUUAUUGAGCAUAUUCCAGAAGAGGUAACUAAGAUAUUCUGUAGGAAUGCAAGUGGAAAGAAUGUUUUUUUCAAGUAGACAUUUUUCAGAUGGUUAUAGUGAUAACAGCAAUGGAAUUCAGUUCAUGUUUUCUGACAACAUAUUGUCUCUGGUUACUAUUAAUGCUUGUGAGUAAUUAGCUUGAUAAUUUAAAAUUAAUCCCUAACCUCUGCUAGUCAGCAUGCCAGUAGCCAAGCCAUAAUGCGUCUCCUGGGCACAGUUUAUGAACCGGGAAGCACCCUUGUCAAGCUUCACAGCUGUCAUCAUUUAUUUUGAAAAAUAGUAGGGGGAGGGACUGAGAGUACCGUUCUAGUCCACUGUGCUUUUUCUCCUCACUGUCAUUCUGAGCAAUACUUAACAUCUUCCUAUAGAGGUUUUUUUUUUUUUUUUUGGCUCUUUGCCUUUUCCUAGGGCCACUUCUGUGGCACAUGGAGGUUCCCAGGCUAGGGGCUGAAUCGGAGCUGUAGUCACUGGCCUACGCCAGAGCUACAGCAACGCAGGAUCCAAGCUGUGUCUGCAACCUACACCACAGUUCAUGGCAACGCCGGAUCCUUAACCCACUGAGCAAGGGCAGGGAUCAAACCCACAACCUCAUGGUUCCCAGUCAGAUUCAUUAACCACUGCACCACAACAGGAACUCCGCCAGAGUUGUUUUUUUAUGAAGAUGCCUGGAGACCGAGGUGAGGCCUCCAGGGUAAGACCCGAUAUUUGUAUGUCUCAUAAGCUCCCAUGUGAGGCUUGAUGCUGCUGGUCCCAGGGUCCUUCUUUGAGAACCACUGUUGUAGACUUAUUUAUGCUUCAGGGCUUCUCUGUAGUGUCUUUCUCCCCUUGGUGAGAUGUGCCACAUUCCAGUACUGAAACUAUGUUCUCUGCCUCCCAGCCUCAACAUUGUUCUUCUGACCAACCUCUUUCAUUCUAGGUUACGUACCAUUUAUUGAGAUUUGGCGCAUUACGUAGGAGUCCGUGGUGGCUUCCUCUGUAGGGAUGUCAUUGAGGACACACUCAAUUUCAGUGUAGUCAUUUGUCAAGCGAGAGGAUUUGAGUCACGGUUGGCUGUCAUCACUUUUGAAACUUGGUUGUGGCUCCAAUUUCUUGCUGGGACAGGAGCCCUUCAGCUUCCUUUGACCACAUGUGUUCAGGAAAUCUGGAUCAAGAGGAAGACUCCUGAACAGAGACCUCACACAGCAAAUGUCAUUGGUAGUUAUGGUCCUGGUAUGAACAAAAGUCAAGAAUAUGAAGUUGCCACCUUCCAGACCAUGGUAGAAAGAGCACCAUAAGAAUAGGUUGGUCCCCUCCAGGGUAGGACACGUUCUGGGCUUGGCCACAUCAUCUCAUUGUGACUGUGUGAUUGCUUAUUUAAGUGGCUUGUUUUCACCAAUACCUGGGCUUCUUGUUCACCAAGAGCCUACAUCAUGUUUGACAAUCCUCUCCUUACGAUGCAAACAUGUGCUUUAAGAUUUAAGUACUUUAUGUAAAACAUGGGGGACUAGCCAUCAUCAGUGAGGUGUUGUGCUCUGAUACACACUGGGAGGUGGCAGGGACCCAAAGGUAGGGAAUAAACAGUGAUUUUUUUUUUCGAGGCAAAUGGGAAAAAUGCAUACAAAUAUUAAGGUUAAUUCUCCAUGUGGGUGGAGGUUGGGGUGUGGUUGAAAUGGCAUAGACUUGGCCCCAUGGCUUCGUUUUAUGUUUAAAACAUCAAUGUGAUGAGUUGAACUGCAUCCUCCACUCCCCAAAUCCAUAGGUUGAUGCCCUAACCUCCAAGGACUUCAGAAAAUGCCCUUAAGCUGGAGAUUUAGUCAGUCAGGAUGCAGUCAUACUUGAGUAGGAUGAGCCCCUUGUUCAGUAUGACUGGUGUUCUUUACAGAGGGGAAAUUUGGACACAGACGUGCACAGAUGUGGGGAUACAGGUAGAAGGCCAUGUGAACAUUGGAUUUGCUGCCCUUAUUACUGAACUGAACUUGGGUCUUCCCUCCACUGCAAGCAAAGCCAAUCUACUGACCUAGGGUCAUGGCAAAGGCUAGUACAGCAUUUAUCUGCAGGGCACCAAGUGCAGAGAAUGAGCAUCUGGAGCUCAAAAGUCCUGAACUCCCCAGUGGCUUUCAGAGAAGGGAUUUUAAAGGCAACAUUUGGAGGGCCAGUGGCAGAGGGCAUGACUUACUUGGGAUUUUUAUAUUUUCUGUUCCCCACUCUGCAGCUAUCAAGAGAGGAUAUUGGACUUGAAUCUUCAUUAAAUGUCUAAGUUCUCAGGAUCUAGAACAUUCCUCAGAAUCUGGUGUUGCUCGUGUUGCUAGCGGCUUUCAUGUGCUGUUCAAAGCCGUUAUUCUGAGGGACCUGUGUGGCCACAGAUGAUUUUGAGGUCUGGUGUCCUUGCUGGACACUUACACUGUCCCUUCAAACCAUUUAGCCCUUUGCCGUCUCCUCAGGCAUUUUCUGAAAAUAUUCCCCAUUUCAUGUCUACUUCCAAGGUGUAGGCUGUCGACCUCAUUAUCCUCAUCCUGCCCCUGAUUCUUGUGGGGCUAAAGAAUAUCUCUGUGGCUGUCCCUCAUUGAACUCAGGGUGGAUCCAGUGUUGUGUCUUUUUCAUCUUGUUAGGACCUCUUGUUGUAGGCAUUGUAAAUGUUUUGGAGGAGGCUUAUUAAAGGCUUUAGUUCAUUAGUGAAUAAAAUAUUAGCAGGCACAAAGUCUGAAAAUUAACGAUUUCUCACCCCUCUGCUCUCUAAAAGAUGUGAGCGGUUUGGGUAGGAAUUCAGGGAUGGAAAAUUUGAUGAAACUGGGUAACGUGUUCCUGGGACACUGUAUCCUUUUCUUCCAGUUGGAACGUUCCUUGUAUUGUAAGACAAUGACAUGUCAUUAAGGAGUUAUGUUCAUCUUGUUUUCAACAAGAUGGAUUAAAUGACCCUCAAAGGUCUUUUCUCCUUUGUAAUUACAUGGUAGGAGUAGAGUCAGACUCCUACAGUUUACAAACAUGUUGAGUGUGUAUUUGCCAUCAUGAUUUGCGUCCUUUUUCUUGUCUUGGUUAUACUUAGAGAAUAGGCUUGGCCCUAGUGAAAUAGAUCUUGUCCUUUCUCAGGGAGGGUGAUGGACAGAAAUGCCCAUAGAUGUGAAUACUUUGCACAGAAGGUGACUGUUUGGAGUGUUAGACGAGGUCGUGUAUCCUGCACAGCUCAGGUGAUGAACUGUAGAGUCAGAAUCCUAACAGCCCUCAGUAAGCUGUUGUGUAAUAAUUAAUCUUCAGUUGCUUAUGAACAUGUGUAGCUUUUGUACACUAGCUUUUCCGGGGAGGACAAGAUUGAAUCCCAGUGUCCCUCAGAGAUCUUGUUUUAUCAGCUGACCAGGUUCCUGUAGUUUCUCCUAAUUUUCGAUUUUCUUCACAUAUACAAUAGCCUGCAGUAAAAAGACAACAGCAACAACACUUAAGACCUAAGAAGACUGUUAAACAUUAUGAGUCAUUUAAUGUUGCUUAAAGUAUACAUUAGCGAGUUGUAAAUAUGUAGCACAUGGCAGUAUCUUUCCAGAGAAUGAUAGUCAGGGAUGUAAUUAAGAGUGGUGUAAAGUUAUGUUUUUAAGUUACUGUUCCACAUGCCUCUUGCAUUUUUUUCUGCUUUGAUAAUGGUUCUAAGUCUGCAGAGAAGCUUUGACGUGUUUUUUUAAAAAUGUUUUUACUGUUCCUUUCAAUUGUUUGCUACACAGCCUCACACAAAAGUGGGUUUAAAAGCACAGAUGAAAAUAGCUGCCAAUAACAAGUUGAAACAUACUGGAGUAACAAUAUGUUCUUUGGUGAAUAUGCUCAAGAGACCACAGUUCUUCCUUUCUGGAAAAAUGUAUUAAACCUGAAGUAAAAUUUUCCUGCAUCCUAAACUAGCUUGGUUGAUGGAGGAUGAGCUUGUCAGGACUUGAAAUGAGAUGUGUCCUCGGGCUAAAAUGCUGCCCAGCUCACCAGCUGUUUUCUGUGAAGCCACCUUUGUCUUCUUCCCUGGAGGGGCUGCACUUGCUGCUCUUAUACCUUCCCACCAGGGGAUUAAUCUCUUCAACACCCUCAUCUUUUUUGAGAAAUGUGCUUCCUAGGUACUUGCCUUUGUUGAAGUUUAGCUUUUUCCAAAAGCCUUUGCAUUAGAGAAAGUGCAUUCUCUCAGCCUUGAUGUAUAGGGCAAGGUAAAUAAUUUUCCUGGGUUGUGUUAUUCACGAAGCAUAUUCUGAGAAUUUGAGAUCUGAACUCAGAACGUUACCUGGUGGUGUUCUCAGGAUCAGCCCCUGUGGGUGUUGGUGGGGAGUGAAGGAUGCAGCCUGGGGCAGGAGAAGGAGCUGGGCUGCAGGGCAGUAGCGGUCAUGGCCAUGGUGGAUCCCAGGACACACUCUGGAGCUUUGGCUGCUUUGAAAGUUACCCUGAAUGGGACAGGGAGGCUGAUCCUUUGCAAACCAGCAGCCAGCAGUUGUUGGAUAUGGGCUUCCUAGGAGCAUGGCCUUGGGCUUGUUGUCUUCAGCCAAGUACAACUUCCUGGUGGGGAAGGAGGGAGUUCAGCUGUGAGCAGUCAGCUUUCAACACUCUCAGUAGCCAAGAGAAGGUUCAUUUCAGCGCAGGAUGUUGCAGGGGGCGGGGUGGUGGUCUGGAUGGUCCAUGGCAGUAUUACCUAUGGACUCUUCCUUUGCACAACAGAAUUCUCUUCUGGAAUAACACAGUUCCAGUCUUUGGCAUACCCUGCUUCUCUCACCCAUGGACCUCUUCUGUCUUAUCCUCUUCAAUUCUGCUUUUCCAUGCUGAGCACACACAUACCAUUCUAGUGCUUUACUUUCCACACCUGCUCUGUACCCUUGGCCACAAGACCCACUUUCCAUGACCGCAGACAGUCCGUUGGCCUAGAGUUUACAUGUGUGCCACAUGGUAAGAACUAUCCGGGCAUCUGUGAAUGUACAGAGUCCAGGGUCCAGUCUAGAUCUGCUGAGUCAGGCCCUGAGAAGCUCCGUGUCUACCAGAUUUCCUGCGUGAUUCUUGAAGCAGGACCUUUGAAAGUGCUGUUACAUUCGCCCUUCUCUUAAUUUCCUGAGGAGUCCUAGCUAGAGGUUGCAAUGCCUCAUUUUAUUCUUUUUUCUUUUUUUCAGUAGUUUGAUUUUUCUCGUGCUCUGGUGACUCUCUAGCUCUACAAUUCUAACUCUAAAUCUAUCAAGCUCUAAAACUGCUACUUGGAUGUCAGUUGGGUGCUGGGUGCUGCCAGAGAAAACCACACACCCCUGUGUGGCGGUGGUACCAGGAAUCCACAGUUGUGAGCUCCAGGUAAAGGUCUGAACCGUUAGUCCCCCACUGCACUUAUGGUCAACUCCACCUGUCACUUUGCUUCUGCUCUGGGCCACCUUUCACUUCGCUUCUUAAAACUCCCCCCGUUACAUGCACUUUUUAUGGAAACUCAUCUCAGUUCUGGGGACCUAGGGAAAAGCACACUGCACAGGAAGCUCUUUCCUCCCAGCUUCCUGCUGUGGGGAUUGUCCAUGCAUGGCCCUGGGGAGAUGCUCAGAAACAAUCCUGGUUUACCUCGAUUCAGGGCCUGUGGUGUGGACAGGCCAUCCUACGUCCCCUGGCCACGCCCUGCACCUUAUCCUCCCAGACCACUUUCUAGAAAAGAGUGAUCUACUCUGCAAAUCCCUCACUGAUCAUUCCUGGAUGCCGAUUGGGGAAAGCGGGUCGGCCCCCAAAAGAGGGACUGUCAAGAUGUGUCACAGGGGAGUCAUGGCUCACUGGAGACAAAUCUGACCAGUAUUCAUGAGGAUGCAGGUUCGAUCCCUGGCCUCGCUCAGUGGGUCACGGAUCCUGCAUUGGUAUGGCAGUGGUGUAGGCCGGGCCAGCUCUAGUUCUGAUUUGACCCCUCACCUGGGAACUUCCAUAGGCUGC
rnacentral:lncRNA from 1 species